UCAUGCAAGUCGAACGAACUCUGGUAUUGAUUGGUGCUUGCAUCAUGAUUUACAUUUGAGUGAGUGGCGAACUGGUGAGUAACACGUGGGAAACCUGCCCAGAAGCGGGGGAUAACACCUGGAAACAGAUGCUAAUACCGCAUAACAACUUGGACCGCAUGGUCCGAGCUUGAAAGAUGGCUUCGGCUAUCACUUUUGGAUGGUCCCGCGGCGUAUUAGCUAGAUGGUGGGGUAACGGCUCACCAUGGCAAUGAUACGUAGCCGACCUGAGAGGGUAAUCGGCCACAUUGGGACUGAGACACGGCCCAAACUCCUACGGGAGGCAGCAGUAGGGAAUCUUCCACAAUGGACGAAAGUCUGAUGGAGCAACGCCGCGUGAGUGAAGAAGGGUUUCGGCUCGUAAAACUCUGUUGUUAAAGAAGAACAUAUCUGAGAGUAACUGUUCAGGUAUUGACGGUAUUUAACCAGAAAGCCACGGCUAACUACGUGCCAGCAGCCGCGGUAAUACGUAGGUGGCAAGCGUUGUCCGGAUUUAUUGGGCGUAAAGCGAGCGCAGGCGGUUUUUUAAGUCUGAUGUGAAAGCCUUCGGCUCAACCGAAGAAGUGCAUCGGAAACUGGGAAACUUGAGUGCAGAAGAGGACAGUGGAACUCCAUGUGUAGCGGUGAAAUGCGUAGAUAUAUGGAAGAACACCAGUGGCGAAGGCGGCUGUCUGGUCUGUAACUGACGCUGAGGCUCGAAAGUAUGGGUAGCAAACAGGAUUAGAUACCCUGGUAGUCCAUACCGUAAACGAUGAAUGCUAAGUGUUGGAGGGUUUCCGCCCUUCAGUGCUGCAGCUAACGCAUUAAGCAUUCCGCCUGGGGAGUACGGCCGCAAGGCUGAAACUCAAAGGAAUUGACGGGGGCCCGCACAAGCGGUGGAGCAUGUGGUUUAAUUCGAAGCUACGCGAAGAACCUUACCAGGUCUUGACAUACUAUGCAAAUCUAAGAGAUUAGACGUUCCCUUCGGGGACAUGGAUACAGGUGGUGCAUGGUUGUCGUCAGCUCGUGUCGUGAGAUGUUGGGUUAAGUCCCGCAACGAGCGCAACCCUUAUUAUCAGUUGCCAGCAUUAAGUUGGGCACUCUGGUGAGACUGCCGGUGACAAACCGGAGGAAGGUGGGGAUGACGUCAAAUCAUCAUGCCCCUUAUGACCUGGGCUACACACGUGCUACAAUGGAUGGUACAACGAGUUGCGAACUCGCGAGAGUAAGCUAAUCUCUUAAAGCCAUUCUCAGUUCGGAUUGUAGGCUGCAACUCGCCUACAUGAAGUCGGAAUCGCUAGUAAUCGCGGAUCAGCAUGCCGCGGUGAAUACGUUCCCGGGCCUUGUACACACCGCCCGUCACACCAUGAGAGUUUGUAACACCCAAAGUCGGUGGGGUAACCUUUUAGGAACCAGC
rnacentral:rRNA from 2 species